rnacentral:tRNA from 1 species
GCCGAGGUCGCAUAAUCUGGUAUUGCGCUGGGUUGCUAACUCAGUUUCCUUCGGGAUUUGGGGGUUCAAAUCCCCUCCUCGGCG